ACAAAAUCGUGGACAUCACUGUCAUGGAGAAAAAAGAAAAGUAAAUGCAAUCGGUUGUUCUCUGGGCGGGGCGAUUUUUAAUUUCUAAUCCUGCAUUCGAAAGUAGGCUAUCCUUCGAUGGAGAUGUGACAGUUUGGUUCUCAGAAGAGAAAGGAGAGAGAAGACAGGGAGAGAAGGCAAAAUGAAGGAAGUCAAGUUCUGAGUUCAGAGAGAGGCAUGGAGGAUGCAGGACUGCCACUACAAUACAUGGAGAACCAGUGGAAGCCAUACAUGAGAACAAAUCCUGGGCACUGUCAUUGAUGAUAAAUUGCAUUUUGAUUCCAACACGGAGGUGAUCCUUAAAAAAUGUCAACAGCGCAAGUAUUUUUGAGGAAGCUAUACUCCUUUGGAGUAAACAGGAAGAUCCUCACAGUUUUUUACACCUCCUUCAUUGAAAGUGUACUGACUUUUUCAUCUAUAUGCUGGUUUCACUCCCUCUCCAUCAACAAUAAGAAUAAUAUAUCAAAUAUGCCCCCAGCGCUGCCCCGGGUGAACUACAGGCAUGAGCAGGCAGUCUCUUUGCUUUGAACUUUGCUAGUAGUGAGCAGAUACUAA